GGGGGUGUGGCUCAGUGGUGGAGCAUGGGCUUAACACGUGUGAAGACCUGGGUUCCAUCCCCAGCACACACG
rnacentral:tRNA from 1 species